GACGAACGCUGGCGGCGUGCCUAAUACAUGCAAGUAGAACGCACAGUUUAUACCGUAGCUUGCUCCACCAUAGACUGUGAGUUGCGAACGGGUGAGUAACGCGUAGGUAACCUGCCUGGUAGCGGGGGAUAACUAUUGGAAACGAUAGCUAAUACCGCAUAAUAUUGAUUAUUGCAUGAUAAUUGAUUGAAAGAUGCUAUUGCAUCACUACCAGAUGGACCUGCGUUGUAUUAGCUAGUAGGUGAGGUAACGGCUCACCUAGGCGACGAUACAUAGCCGACCUGAGAGGGUGAUCGACCACACUGGGACUGAGACACGGCCCAGACUCCUACGGGAGGCAGCAGUAGGGAAUCUUCGGCAAUGGACGAAAGUCUGACCGAGCAACGCCGCGUGAGUGAAGAAGGUUUUCGGAUCGUAAAGCUCUGUUGUAAGAGAAGAACGGGUGUGAGAGUGGAAAGUUCACACUGUGACGGUAUCUUACCAGAAAGGGACGGCUAACUACGUG
rnacentral:rRNA from 1 species